UUUUUUUUUCAAAUCUAAUUUUUUUUAGUUAGCUAAUUGAGAGAUAGUAGAUACAAAAUAUUUUUAAUGUUUGUUGCAUAGAGAUUUUCGUUUUUUUGAUAAGUAUGGAAUAUUAUUUUAUGGGACGCAUAAAUAUUUUUCGGUUAGCAAAAAUUUGGAUAAGUAUAAAUUUCUUUCUAUUCUCGCAAAUAGAAUGCAAUAUCUUUUCCGAUUAAAAAAAGGUAUGUCUGUGUCAACAACUAUUUUAAUAAUUAUCUCAAAUCAAUAUCAAUUUGUGAAUCAUAUUUACUGCAAAUUUAAAAUUUUAAAAAGUAAAUUUAUAUGUUAUAUUUUACUGAAAAAAUAUUUCAUAUUUUAAAUAUUAGUAGGUAAAAUUGAGAUAAUUUUUAUAUAUUCACUUUUAAAAAUAUAUGAUUAAAUAUUAUAUAUGCGGAAGGUAUUAUGUGAUUGAAUAUUAUAUUGGUGGCGGAUAUUACGUGUGAGAAUGAAAAUAUUUAAAAAAUGCGAAUAUUAUUUGUGAUAAAAUAUAAUAUUAUGUUGGCGGCGGUUAUUAGGAGGUAUGACACACAUAUAAAAAGUAAAAUUUGAUACGUACUAUCUAAGGGCAAUUUAGGUAAAAAAGUGACAGAUACUUAAUUCGUCAGUCAUUGGAUUAGAUCGAAUGACUAAGAAUUAAUAUAUUUUAUGAUAAUUUAAAAAUAAAAUAAAAAUUGUACGGCUGUGAUUUAUUCCAUUAAAGUUGAAUGAAUGAUAUUAUUAGUAUGUAAUUGGAAUUAUAUUAAUAGGGAUCGGCAUUUUGGGAAAGUGGAAAAAAUUUAAAACUCACGCUUUUAUAAGUAGUAUAGAUAUAUAUAUAUAGAGCUAAGCUGGUAUACUAUCGGUAGCACGGAGGCCUCCAUGUUACCAAGUUGUUUUCAAUGAUGCGACUUCCAAAUCGACGAUCGGCUUCGUUAAAUUUAAUCUACACUAUUGAAAGUAUUUAGAAACUAAAUUUCAUAAUUUUUCGGCAUUAUUUACUUAUCAAACGAGUAGUGUAAAACAACUUGGUAGCACGAAGGUCUCCGUGCUACCGAUAGUAUACCAGCCUAACUAUAUAUAUAUAUAUAUAUAUAUAUAUAGAGAGAGAGAGAGAUAGAGAGAGAGAGAGAGAGAGAGAGAGAGUUUUGUCAGAAUACUAUCGGUAGUAAACGAGCCGUUUUACUUCUUAUUUGUUUUCGAUGAUAGAGCUUCCAAAUUGACGAUCUGCUCCGUUGAACAUGAUCUAUACCAUUUGAAGUGUUUAGAAAUCUAAUUUCAAAUCUUUUCGACAUCAUUUGCCUAAUGAUCAAAGGGUUUCAAAAUUUGUAAUUUUAAUGGUCGAUAAGAGGCGUUUUUUCGUUUAACGGCGUAAAGAUAUCAAAAUCAAUUGAAUUUUUGUUAGAAAAUUCUUUAAAUUAUUUAAAACAAGAUCUAUACUUUUGAUCUUGAUUACAUGACUCCUAUCAUCAUUUUUUAAAGAAUAUUAAUUUUCAGCCAUUCAUUUUUCUGUUUACUUGAUGGAUAAAAGAACAAUAUCGAAAGUGCGUGAAAUUUGAUUU
rnacentral:lncRNA from 1 species